rnacentral:lncRNA from 1 species
UUACUUUUAUUGUCGUGUUACUAUGGAGGUAUGGAGCGUUGUUUUUACUUGGCUUAGUUGGUUCCGACAUCAUGGGAACACGAUGAGGUACUGAACUUCUUAGCAUUCGGCAGUUCUAAUAGAGGAUUCAAAAACUUCAAAUUCUAUCAUAUUGUAUGGUUGGCGACGUGCUGGAACAUUUGAUUGGAAAGGGACAAUGUUCUGAUUCAUGGGGAGUUUGUAAAUUUGGCCGAGAUGAUAUAGAGAAC